rnacentral:ncRNA from 1 species
CAGAUAUCUCCGGGAGUGAGGCUGCGGGUGCUAAGAUCCGUGGCCGAGAGGGAAAUAACCCAGAAUAGCAGCUAAGGUCCCUAAUACAUGGUUAAGUUGAUCAAACGAGGUAGGACUUCUAUAACAGCCAGGAUGUUUGCUUGGAAGCAGCAAUUCAUUUAAAGAGUGCGUAACAGCUCACUGGUCGAGAGGUCUGCACGGAAAAUAAUCGGGCAUCAAACUAUGAACCGAAGCUCUAUGAUUGCCCUAAGCGGUAUAUCGGUAGGGGAGCAUUCUGACUGCAUCGAAGGUGUACGGCGACGUAUGCUGGAGCGGUUAGAAAAGAAAAUGUAGGCAUAAGUAACGAUAAAUAAGGUGAAAAACCUUAUCGCCGAAAGUCUAAGGGUUCCUGAUCAACGUUAAUCGGAUCAGGGUUAGCCCGGUCCUUAGUCAAACCCGAAAGGGGUAGACGAUGGAAAGCAGGUUAAUAUUCCUGCGCCCACUAUGCAUUAAAAGUGACGGAGAAUGCUAGCACUACAGGCUGACGGAUUAGCUGAGUGGAUCCUUCGGGUGAAGCG